rnacentral:rRNA from 1 species
CUGGGCUUGACAUGUUAUGAACAACAUGUGAAAGCAUGCGACUCUUCGGAGGCGUUACACAGGUGCUGCAUGGCCGUCGUCAGCUCGUGUCGUGAGAUGUUUGGUUAAGUCCAGCAACGAGCGCAACCCCUGUUGCCAGUUACCAGCACGUGAAGGUGGGGACCCUGGCGAGACUGCCCAGAUCAACUGGGAGGAAGGUGGGGACGACGUCAGGUCAGUAUGGCCCUUAUGCCCAGGGCUGCACACGUACUACAAUGCCCAGUACAGAGGGGGCCGAAGCCGCGAGGCGGAGGAAAUCCUAAAAACUGGGCCCAGUUCGGACUGUAGGCUGCAACCCGCCUACACGAAGCCGGAAUCGCUAGUAAUGGCGCAUCAGCUACGGCGCCGUGAAUACGUUCCC